CAUAUAUAGUUUUUGAACGCCCAUUUGUGCUUUCAGGUCUCCAUAAUUUUUUUUCCUUUCCCCUGCUUCACUAGUCAUUUGUUCCUCUAGCAAAGCCCCCUCACAGCAAUGCAACUUGUGCUUAACACCUUUUUUCUGCUGAAUGAUCCUCACUAGGAAGGACAGCUGAGCCUGAACAUGGUGACAUGCACCAGCUUUCACAACUAUUCAGCAGUAGGAGUAAAUGACAUAGCCUGUGUUUAAGUGCCCUUACACCAGCCAUUAGUGAUGGAGCAUGCAUUAAUUUAGAUGCUUCUCUGAAUUGUAUCAUGCCAAUUUAUAUUUCUUCGCCCCCCCUCCAUACCAGGGAUUUGCAGAGAAUAAAGCCAACAGGUCAGCUGCUGAGGGCAUUACUCUGCCAUUGCUAAGGCAAACUCCUCUUGACAUUAAGCAAUAACUGAAGGGGCUAGGAUUUGUCUCCAGCUGAAUAAUAAAGCAGAUGAAAUAAGCCAGGGAUGAGUAUUCACAAUUCAAUUGACAGCAGGGGGAUUUUUUUCAAGGCAUUUCACUGAAGCCAGGAAGAAAGCGCAAACAUGAAUCAUUUUUAUUGAUUUGUUUUCUCCCUAUGUAGUCUGUCCUUUCCAUUAAUAUAUCUUCCAGAAAUAUAAAUGUGGAAGGUGGCUAGCCCAGACUGAUAAUUAAAAUACCAUAUGCACUUGACACUCUAUUGCCCAGCAGCAUCUUGUGCAGGCAUUUACACCAGUGCAAAAAUGGGUAGCAUUUUAUAGCUGCCUAGCACUGAUGAAAAUGACUAUGCAAGGAACCAGGCAUGGAGAAUCAAGCCCUAUAUUUUUGUAGUACCUAGCAAUCCUGGCCAGUGGCACUGUGGUAAACCCCUACUCCUGUAAAAUUCACCUACAGCAGAGAAGAUCUCACCAUCCUUCUAAAGUGUGUCUACCUGGAAAUUGAAUCAGCCUGGCUAGAGAAUUGGCCGUAUUCCAAAUGUUCUAAUAAUACUUUGUUAUUGCCUCAGAGUAAGAAGAAUCUUGUUCCAAUAUUUUUUUCCUGCCUAGCAUGUGUUCAGUAUGUGAUGUAAAGUAAUGUCCAUUUUUGCAAAGCAGCUGUCAAAUUAACUGCCUAACAAAUCAGAUGGCUAAUCAGCAUGUGAAUGCAUUGGGAACUGUGUCUGUGAACAAGUCCCGCUACUCUUAGAACCCUGGGGAGCUUUGCCACCAGAUGGUUCUGUUUGAGCACACCCAGAGCAAGGGAUUGUGUUCCUGACCACCUUGGCUAAUAACCAUCAAUGGACCUGUCCUCCAUGAACUUCAAGGAAAUGCAGUUUGGGAUAUAACUGGAUGAAAGGAGCUAGAGAAAGCUUCAAACAAUUUGCCUGGUACUGAAGAUAGGCUCACCAGCCUGGAAUUGGCAGGAUUGCCUCUGGAGUCUUUUUGCUUCUGUUUAAUGUUCUCCUUCCACUGAGACUUUUAACUGCGGAGAGGCUGUCGGACUGAGGGUGGGACCACUCUAGCAUGUCCCUGUCUCAUCUGUGUACUGCUGUUUCCUUUAGCUCCUCCUGUUCAGCCAUUGUGAAGAGCUACACCUUACCACCCUGCAGAUCAUUAAGCUGGUAUUCAGCAUGAGUAAGGUAUGACAAGUGGAGCUGCUCUGUAAUGAUUUGUGAAUACUGCAGGAUGACCAGAUUGUUGGGAUGUUUAUUGUACGAAUAUAUUGGUUGUGCAAACGCUAGAGGCUUGUUAAAAGCAAGACCAGGAAACCAGAACAUUGUAAAUCACUGCAGCAGAAAACUCCCCCAUUCAGGCAAGCACUUAAGCAUAUGGAAGUUAAGGCUAAGCACAUGCUUAAGUGCUUUCUUGAACAGAAGUGAACUUAGUAUAUGCCUAAGUUAAGUUAAGUUUAACCAACCUUGGGGUAUCUACAGGCUAUUGGAAUACAAAUAAAAUAUUUUUUUUUGUUUUGAACAUGGAAAUUUUUCCCAGUACAAAACUGGAACAGGCUCUCUUAGGGUGAUGUGGCUCUGACCUGAUUGGAACAGCGUGUAGAGUGCACUAUGUAUAUUUACCCAUUUUAAAAAAAAGUCAUCUGGAAUCAUUUUUUCCUCUGACAUGAAUAAUGUUGAUGGAGACACUAACGGAUUAGGCUGCUGCUCUGAUUCACUUGCUAAAGUAAACACCAGGAAAUAGCUUUCUUUAGCGUGGGAAUGAAAACACAUGUAGGACGGAUGGGCACUUUUACCUGCCUGUGCUCUUGAGAUGUGUCAUCCAGAAGAAUCAUUUGAAAUGAGAUCACAAGGACUUCCAUUUGCAGACGAACAGUACAAAUGAGUUUCUAUUUCUACCUCAGAGCGGUUUGGAGCUAGCCAAGUGGUCAUAAGCAGAAUGAACAGCCAGCCUUCCUGAGGUGCAGCUGAAUAUUGUACUCUUCAUAGCACAAGCAUAUGGAACCAGAAGUGUAAACUGAUGUUUCUUGAAGUCAAUGGAGAAACAGUGUUACACCAUUUGAGACUUUAGCCCAUGUGAUAUUGAUGUGGACUGUUGCCAUAUUCCACACCAGAGGUGGUUGCAGUUCAAUAGUGGGUAAGCUCUUUAGGGCAGGAUCCAUCUCUUUGUUGUAUGUACAGCACCUAGCACAAUGGAGCCCUGAUCCAGAUUUGGAGUUACCCCCAAUAUAAAUAAAUAACAAUAGUCUCUUCACUUGCAGAUCAUAGUUAGCCAAAUCAUGUUUCCUUUCUCCAAUAUCUCAUGAGAAGUGAAAAAGGUUAAAACCAAAAUGACUUGAGCAUGCUGCAGCUGAGAAGCAUUGAAAAAAUGAAUACAGAUGCUUGUCAUGAGAGAACAAAAAUAACUUUUCAGUAGAGAAUACCUGAGGUUUAAAAAGUUGCACAAACUAUCAAGCCUCUUCUUUUGGGUAGGUCCCAGUCCUGUCUAUUAUUAAAAGCCGCCAUAAGGAUUCGUGUGCUGGUAAUACAUUUUACAGGACCCCAGAUGGGCAGUGGACUUAACGGCUUGGCCCACUGCCAUUCAGGGGUUCCAUCCACUGGCUCGUGCCAGCCUGCUGUCAAUUGUGGGAUCCCAGCCCUCCCCACAUACAGUGGGUACCUACUUUCCUUCUUUCUCUGCACUGAGCUGAGGGUGGGAGAUUUGAUGCGAGGGGUGCAGGAGCUCCCAUUUGUUGUUCUGGGUGGCAGUGGGGAUGCUGGAUUUGUGAAGGGGUGCAGGUGUCAGGGCAGAGGGUUGUGGGGGUGGGGGAUGAACGAGUCAAGCAGAGGGCUGUGUGUGGUUCGGGGGGACUGCCCCCCUAAAAACUCCCAACCUCCCUGCUCCUCUGUUCCUUGUCCUCUGACAGGACCCUUAUUCACACCCUGUUCCCAGCCAGACCCCCCCCCCCCCCCCCCCCCGGGGAAUCCCACCCAACCUGCUCUGCUCCCUGACUGGCCCCCCCCCCCAUGCUGUAACUCACACAGGGUGUCUAUGGCAGUCACUCCUGUGACUUAAACAACUGCUUUCAGGACCUGACCCUGCAGAUACUGAAGCACAUAAGUAACUCUUCUCAUCCCGUAAUCAGUUUGAUUCAAGUUUCCUUAUUAGAAAUACUCACAUUGUGUUUUGUGUGGAUAGUGAAAACUGAUGGGUCAGAGAAACCACAGAGGUGCUCUUGGAGACAUAAAUAAUGAACCAUUGCAAAGUACUUUGGGAUCCCCUUAUGACAUCUUUGAUCUUACUUGGGGUGGGGAGUAUAACUCUGGUCUACAAUUUUUGAGAAGUCGUCUGCUUCAGAGAUAAAAAUUCAAAUAUGACAAUUAAAACAACUGAUUGGCUACAGUUUCUACGAUAUUUACGUUUUAUGUCUAUGUAUAUUGUGUAGAUAGUAGAGUUUUGUAAACCUAGGUCUUUGUUUAUGGUUGUUUUACAUGAUAA